rnacentral:rRNA from 1 species
AAAUUGAAGAGUUUGAUCAUGGCUCAGAUUGAACGCUGGCGGCAGGCCUAACACAUGCAAGUCGAACGGUAGCACAGAGAGCUUGCUCUCGGGUGACGAGUGGCGGACGGGUGAGUAAUGUCUGGGAAACUGCCUGAUGGAGGGGGAUAACUACUGGAAACGGUGGCUAAUACCGCAUAACGUCGCAAGACCAAAGAGGGGGACCUUCGGGCCUCUUGCCAUCAGAUGUGCCCAGAUGGGAUUAGCUUGUUGGUGAGGUAAUGGCUCACCAAGGCGACGAUCCCUAGCUGGUCUGAGAGGAUGACCAGCCACACUGGAACUGAGACACGGUCCAGACUCCUACGGGAGGCAGCAGUGGGGAAUAUUGCACAAUGGGCGCAAGCCUGAUGCAGCCAUGCCGCGUGUAUGAAGAAGGCCUUCGGGUUGUAAAGUACUUUCAGCGGGGAGGAAGGUGUUG